rnacentral:rRNA from 1 species
GUGGGGAAUAUUGGACAAUGGGCGAAAGCCUGAUCCAGCCAUGCCGCGUGUGUGAAGAAGGUCUUCGGAUUGUAAAGCACUUUAAGUUGGGAGGAAGGGCAGUAAGUUAAUACCUUGCUGUUUUGACGUUACCGACAGAAUAAGCACCGGCUAACUUCGUGCCAGCAGCCGCGGUAAUACGAAGGGUGCAAGCGUUAAUCGGAAUUACUGGGCGUAAAGCGCGCGUCGGUGGUUUUGUAAGUUGGAGGUGAAAUCCCCGGGCUCAACCUGGGAACUGCCUCCAAAACUGCAUGACUAGAGUACGGUAGAGAGUAGUGGAAUUUCCUGUGUAGCGGUGAAAUGCGUAGAUAUAGGAAGGAACACCAGUGGCGAAGGCGACUACCUGGACUGAUACUGACACUGAGGUGCGAGAGCGUGGGGAGCAAACAGGAUUAGAAACCCUAGUAGUCC